rnacentral:rRNA from 1 species
AUUGAACGCUGGCGGCAGGCCUAACACAUGCAAGUCGAGCGGAGCGGCGGACGGGUGAGUAAUACCUAGGUAUCUGCCUGGUCGUGGGGGAUAACGUUCGGAAACGGACGCUAAUCCCGCAUACUAUCAGAUGAGUCUAGGGCGGAUUGGCUAGUUGGUGAGGUAAUGGCUCACCAAGCCUACGAUCGAUAACUGGUCUGAGAGGAUGAUCAGUCACACUGGAAGGGAGAGAGGGACCAGACUCGUACGGGAGGCAGGAGGGGGGAGUAGUGCACAAGGGGCGGAAGCCUGAUGCAGCGACGCCGGGUGGGGGAUGAAGGCCUUCGGGUUGUAAACUCCUUUCGACAGGGACGCGGUACCUGUAGAAGAAGCACCGGCUAACUACGUGCCAGCAGCCGCGGUAAUAC